CGCCUUGCUCUACACUGUAAGAAAAGGGGGGAGACGAUAGAACCUUGGAUUUUCUUGAGAGGUUCUACAAUGGCCACUGUCGUUCAAACCUCCGAGGAAGAUGCGGCGCUCACCGUCGUCCGGUUUGCCUCUGAGCUUGCUUGGGCCGACGCCGGUCCCGAGACUGCUGAGCCACAAGUUAAUAGACUCUGCGUUGAAGCCCAAGAAUGUAUGGUUAUGG
rnacentral:misc_RNA from 1 species